UUACUGGGCGUAAAGCGCAUGCAGGUGGUUUGUUAAGUUCAGAUGUGAAAGACCCGGGGCGUCAACCUCGGAAUUGCAUUUGAAACUGGCAACUAGAGUACUGUAGAGGGGGUAGGAAGUUUCAGGUGUAGCGGUGAAAUGCGUAGAGAUCUGAAGGAAUACCGGUGGCGAAGGCGGCCCCCUCGGACAGAUACUGACACUCAGAUGCGAAAGCGUGGGGAGCAAACAGGAUUAGAUACCCUGGUAG
rnacentral:rRNA from 1 species